UACGGAGGUGGCAAGCGUUGCUCGGAAUCACUGGGCGUAAAGGGCGCGUAGGCGGGGAGGUAAGUCGGGUGUGAAAUCCCUCGGCUCAACCGAGGAACUGCGCCCGAGACUGCUUCUCUUGAGUCCCGGAGAGGAAGGUGGAAUUCCCGGUGUAGCGGUGAAAUGUGUAGAGAUCGGGAGGAACACCGGUGGCGAAGGGCGGCCUUCUG
rnacentral:rRNA from 1 species